rfam:Ixodes scapularis strain Wikel colony gcontig_1108378654464, whole genome shotgun sequence.
UUCUGGGAGGACUGACAGAUUGAGAGCUCUUUCUUGAUUCGGUAGAUGGUGGUGCAUGUCUGUUCUUAGUUGGUGCGGUGAUUUGUCUGGUUAUUUCCGAUAACGAAUGAGACUCUAGCCUUUUAAAUAGGUGCGUGGUUCUCUGCACCUUGCACCCUUAGAGGGACAAUCGGCUCCUAGCCGCACGAAAGAGCGCAAUAACAGGUCUGUGAUGCCCUUAGAU